GACGUAGGGCGCGAGCGUUGUCCGGAUUUAUUGGGCGUAAAGAGCUCGUAGGCGGUCUGUCGCGUCGGAUGUGAAAAUCCAGGGCUCAACCCUGGACCUGCAUUCGAUACGGGCAGACUAGAGUUCGGCAGGGGAGACUGGAAUUCCUGGUGUAGCGGUGAAAUGCGCAGAUAUCAGGAGGAACACCGGUGGCGAAGGCGGGUCUCUGGGCCGAAACUGACGCUGAGGAGCGAAAGCGUGGGGAGCAAACAGG
rnacentral:rRNA from 1 species